rnacentral:misc_RNA from 1 species
CUUGGAUGUGGGGGUUUGUGCAGGCUGCCUCAGCGCGGUCUGCUCCCCUGAAAUGCAUUAGCGAGUUCAAACUGAGCUCCGUCUAUUGGUGUGAUAAUUAUCUACGCCGUGGAUGGUUCUUAGACUUGCUUCUAACCGUCCGCAAGGACAACUCUUGACAAUUUGACCUCAAAUCAGGUAGGACUACCCGCUGAACUUAA